rnacentral:lncRNA from 1 species
GGACCUGGGAUAUGGAUACCGUCAUCUUCCUGAUCCCACAGAUCCAGCCUGAGCCACAAAAGGCUUCUUUUGUUCCUCACAGGACUCUCCCCUCUGUGCUGCUGGAGAGAACAGGCCAUUCGGACUGAAGGUGACCUUGGAGAAGGUUCUGCGAAGCCUGGCUCAUUUCCAGCCGACUGAGGAAAAGCAGGAGACUGUAUCGGUCAACAGCGGAAGUCCUCAGCUCAGCUAGAGACAGUGUUCCAGCUGCAGUCUGUUACCAGUGUUCUUCAGUCCCUCCUUUUCUCUGUGCCAGCACAGACAGACGGAGCUAAGUGACAAGGGUCUGCGCCACCCCAGGUCACAGUCACUUGUGCUCUCACCGCCCGUGUAGAUGGGGAUGCGAGGCAAGAGAGCUCCUGCAGAGGGGGCAUAGCCUUUGGUUCGAGUGGAGAGCUGUUCUUUGAAAUCUUUUCAUGCCAAAGAGAAGGGAUACAACAGAGUGCCGGCCACCAUGUCCACGCUCUCAGAAAGAGGAAUGUUCUGGAAGCAAAGCAUGGCCUGAGUGGCUCUCGAGAUGUGAGCUCAGCUAAACUAAGACUUACUUCAUCCUUCAGACCUGCAGCCUCGGAGCUUCAGAGUGAGGCCUUGAAUGGCCCCACCAAUGGGAUAAAGAAAUAAUUGCUGGUGAUUUCAGUUGCCCUGUAGGUGAGGGAUCAAUAUAUCAGAGAGGACUGCUUACCAAACUUUGUACAGGAGUCUGGAAAUUUUGACUGUGUCUCCGAAGUGUGUAACAGUUAAUAGAUAGCAGAAUGUGAGCCUCUGUGUGGAUGGGUUUCUAUGCCCUUGGGAAUCCUGCGAGAUAAAUCUGUUUUCUCUUUUUAUUAUAAGACUUUUGUCACCAGCUGCACUUGAGUUUUCAUACA